GCCUGUUUAUCAAAAACAUUGCCUCACGGAAAAUUAUGUGAGGUACGCCCUGCCCAGUGACAUGUUCAACGGCCGCGGUACCCUGACCGUGCAAAGGUAGCAUAAUCAUUUGCCCUUUAAUUGAGGGCUGGUAUGAACGGGUAAACGAAGGUUUAGCUGUCUCUUAAGUAAUAAUAGAAAUUAACAUUCAGGUGAAGAGGCCUGAAUCAGCCUGGAAGACAAGAAGACCCUGUCGAGCUCUGUAGCUUUCUCUUUCUUAAUGUUUUAAGUACUUAAAGAAAAGGGAUCCACUACUUCGUUGGGGCGACGAGAGGAGAAAUAGAUCACCUCUUUAUUUAAAGGAAGUCUAACCACAUGAUGACCCAUUUAUUAUGAUCAAAGGAAAAAGCUACCGCAGGGGUAACAGGUUAAUCCUCUCAGAGAGCUCCCAUUGACGAGAGGGAUUGACACCUCGAUGUUGGCUUAGAGAUCCCCUAGUGGCGCAGAAGCCCUAAAGGUUGGUUUGUUCAACCAAUAACACUC
rnacentral:rRNA from 1 species